AUUGAACGCUGGCGGCAUGCUUUACACAUGCAAGUCGAACGGCAGCGAGGAGAAGCUUGCUUCUCUGUCGGCGAGUGGCGAACGGGUGAGUAUAGCAUCGGAACGUGCCAAGUAGUGGGGGAUAACCAAACGAAAGUUUGGCUAAUACCGCGUAAGCUCUAAGGAGGAAAGUAGGGGACCUAAAUAAGGCCUUACGCUAUUUGAUCGGCCGAUGUCGGAUUAGCUAGUUGGUGGGGUAAUGGCUCACCAAGGCAAUGAUCCGUAGCGGGUCUGAGAGGACGAUCCGCCACACUGGGACUGAGACACGGCCCAGACUCCUACGGGAGGCAGCAGUGGGGAAUUUUGGACAAUGGGGGAAACCCUGAUCCAGCCAUGCCGCAUGUAUGAAGAAGGCCUUAGGGUUGUAAAGUACUUUUGUUAGGGAAGAAAAGCUAGUUUUUAAUAAAAAUUAGUGAUGACGGUACCUAAAGAAUAAGCACCGGCUAACUACGUG
rnacentral:rRNA from 1 species